UACGUAGGUCCCGAGCGUUGUCCGGAUUUAUUGGGCGUAAAGCGAGCGCAGGUGGUUUAUUAAGUCUGGUGUAAAAGGCAGUGGCUCAACCAUUGUAUGCAUUGGAAACUGGUAGACUUGAGUGCAGGAGAGGAGAGUGGAAUUCCAUGUGUAGCGGUGAAAUGCGUAGAUAUAUGGAGGAACACCGGUGGCGAAAGCGGUUCUCUGGCCUGUAACUGACACUGAGGCUUGAAAGCGUGGGGAGCAAACAGG
rnacentral:rRNA from 1 species